rnacentral:rRNA from 1 species
GACGAACGCUGGCGGCGUGCUUAACACAUGCAAGUCGAACGGUGAAGCGCCUUCCUUUUUGGUGGGUGUGGAUGAGUGGCGAACGGGUGAGUAACACGUGAGUAACCUGCCCCCUUCUUCUGGAUAACCGCAUGAAGGUGUGGCUAAUACGGGAUAUUCUGGGUCUGUCGCAUGAUGGGUCUGGGAAAGAUAUUGUUUCGGUGGGGGAUGGGCUCGCGGCCUAUCAGCUUGUUGGUGGGGUGAUGGCCUACCAAGGCGGUGACGGGUAGCCGGCCUGAGAGGGUGGAGGGUCACACUGGGACUGAGACACGGCCCAGACUCCUACGGGAGGCAGCGGUGGGGAAUAUUGCACAAUGGGCGCAAGCCUGAUGCAGCGACGCCGCGUGAGGGAUGGAGGCCUGCGGGUUGUGAACCUCUUUCGCCAGUGAAGCAGGCCUGCCUCGUUUGUGGGUGGGUUGACGGUAGCUGGAUAAGAAGCGCCGGCUAACUACGUG